GCAGCAAAGACACGGAAGGCAGAGUCAGUCCAUAAGCGUCAAUGUCCACCCACUCAGCGACUCACUUACCCAGCGACUCACUUGCUGUAGCUUUAUCUUCCCUUCCACAGGUUCCAUAACCUUCCCAAACUUUGCCGGGAGCUGAGGACUGAGUGUUCGAACUCGUGAGCCUGAGCCGAGUGGCAUUUCAUUCAAAGCACAGCGGAAGGAAUGAAGGGGAAGGCUCAGAAAUGAAUCCUCCGGCAGACUCCGAUGACAGGGACAGUCUGUAGGGCCAGGCGGGAACCUAUUGGGUGCAUCGCAGCCCCGUUCCUAUGAAGACACAGCUGAGGCUCUUUGGCACUUUGUUCCUUCCUGUGAUGACACGUUCUUGGACGGUACGGUGGCGACCGGAUGUUGAGGCACC
rnacentral:lncRNA from 1 species